GCUCUCGAGGCCCAGUUGGUUAGAGCGUCGAUGUACUUAUAAGCAGUACUGGACUAAAUGCAAAGGUCGAGUUUUCGAUCCCCUCCGGAAGCA